rnacentral:tRNA from 1 species
GGAACCUUAGCUCAGUUGGCAGAGCAUUCGCCGUUACGAAUUAAAUACAGCGUCGCGCCCAGGUUCGACCCCUGGAGGUUUCU